rnacentral:rRNA from 1 species
GACGAACGCUGGCGGCGUGCUUAACACAUGCAAGUCGAACGGAAAGGCCCUGCUUUUGUGGGGUGCUCGGGUGGCGAACGGGUGAGUAACACGUGAGUAACCUGCCCUUGACUUUGGGAUAACUUCAGGAAACUGGGGCUAAUACCGGAUAGGAGCUCCUGCUGCAUGGUGGGGGUUGGAAAGUUUCGGCGGUUGGGGAUGGACUCGCGGCUUAUCAGCUUGUUGGUGGGGUAGUGGCUUACCAAGGCUUUGACAGGUAGCCGGCCUGAGAGGGUGACCGGCCACAUUGGGACUGAGAUACGGCCCAGACUCCUACGGGAGGCAGCAGUGGGGAAUAUUGCACAAUGGGCGGAAGCCUGAUGCAGCAACGCCGCGUGCGGGAUGACGGCCUUCGGGUUGUAAACCGCUUUCGCCUGUGACGAAGCGUGAGUGACGGUAAUGGGUAAAGAAGCACCGGCUAACUACGUG